GCCAAAGGAAAAAAAUCGCAAGAGAUGUCAAAAAAGAAAAGAAAACGCGAGCGACUCUCACACCCAUCGCGUCCAGCGUUUCUCCUUUUCUCUACUCCCAACUAGCUAGGGACGCCGCCGCCGCCCUCACCCGCGCUCGUGCCCUCUUCGUCUCCUGUCCCGAGGUCCACCUCCUCCAGCCUCAUCUCCCUCGAUCUUCUUGAUUUGGAUCUCGGGAGCAGACAUGGGAGGGAGGCGAUGUGCCGGCGAGGCCUCUGGGACCGUGUGGCGGGCGUGAGCCCCCCACCCUCGUCCACGACGAUGAGGACUGGUUCGCGUUUUGCCUCCAGUUCCAACUCAUGGUCACGCUGGAUAUGCCCCAUGACACCGUUUGCGUCAAUCUGAAGGUUAGGGAGGACAGGGACGAGGUGCGGGCACAAAUGCAGGUCCUCUCUCUCUCGGUUGGAUCAGAAACUUCUCAAUUUUACACGCAGAAUCGACCUGAUGGUUUCUUCUAAAUGUUUAUUAAAACCUAAGAAGCUUUCUUUGUUUUGUCAUAAUCAGGUGUUGAAUGAUUCUCAAUAUCGAUCAACAAUCUAGUAGGUGGCACAUAUGGGUCCCUCACCAUGCUGUUGACACGAUGGCCCUACCGAAUCAAGGACGAGCCAUGAGAUAACAUAGCCGGCGGCUCUCGUCACGCACACCGGUUGGUCCUGCUCCGGCGAGCCGCCGCCACCGUGCCUGUUUAGAUCUCACUAUUUAGUUUAUAGGUGACCCGUGCCUCCUUUUAUCUCCCUUGCAUUAUUGAUGUGGGUAACUUCCACUCUAGUCCUAACCUUCUCUUUUGGUUUUCCGGUAGGUUCUUUGUCGGGCAGUGUAGAACUGAAAUAGUUGAAGAGAACAUCAUGAGGCGAUGCUAGAAGCUUGCUUGUGUGCUAGCCGUUGUUGUGAUUUUAAGAAAUUUACAAGUUCACUCAAUGGAAAAAAGAGGGACUAUGGUGAGAGGUGACUAAAUCUACAAUGUUGAAUCCCUUUACCAUUAGUACUCCCUCCAUUUUUAUAUACAAGGCCACAAACCCACAUUACACGUACCAACGCAAAAGUUAAUGCCUUCCAAGUCAACGUUGCAAGACAACUUGUCUCCUUGUUUACCGUGUAAAUUAAUGUGUAUUUCUCUGUCUCAUGCAUAUCAAGCCAAUGAUCUCACUCCUGCAUGCAUGCAAGGGAUAAUUAAUGUCCUGCUUUGCUAGUACUACGAGGCAAACACCAUUAAUGUUGCAUCAAUUAGUGUUAGUGGCCUUGUAUAUAUGCAAAUUGUAAUUUUUAUAGUGGCCUUGCAUAUAAAAAUGGAGGGAGUAGUUUAAAUAGCAACCAAAAUUUCUUUUCAUGAGACGGUGAUUAAUUAGUCUAAAGUUGUUCUACAUAUUAGUAAAAUGUUGUAUUUGCACUAGAAAGUUCAAUUUCUUUGCUAAACCAUGGACCGGUCAAUGUUGAAUUAGCUGAGAAUGUUUUUGAAGUUCGUUGAAUCACUUGUGUGAAUAUUUAUACCAACUAUGAGUGUUUCAUAAUCGUGGGAAUUUCUUUACCAUCUUUCAAGUACAUCGAAAUCUCCUAGGAUGGCAAACAAGAAGUCGACCAAAAUAUCCGGCAACGGUGGUGAGCAUAGUGGUGACAUGUGAUUUCCAUGCCUAUUUGUCGGCUCUACAAAAUGCACAUUUGAUUUCUCCAUAUUCAUUUGUUGAUUUCUACUUUCAUGAGAAGUUGAGAACUACUUGAGGCAGAGUAUUUACAUCCUCAAUUUCAUCCUUCACUCCUUGUAGGUGUACUUACCCUUCUCUUGCUGCUGUUGCAUCUAGAUAUGCAAUCUAUGCUAGCUUUGUGGAAGUGGAGAUGGAAAGGACGUUGUCAUUAGUCAAGUCAUGUGAGCGGGGAAGGGGCCAAAAAAGCGAAGCUAAAAACAGCUAACAGGCCCAUCAGAAUAUUGUAAGGAUGAAACUUUUCAUCCUUGCACAUCAUGUGAUAAUUGAAUACUAUAAUCACAUGACCUAUUUACUCGUUAUGAUCUCAUAUACAUAUUUUUGGGACAUUUUUUGUUCCUUUUCUUUCUUCACGGGCCAUCUUUAGUGCUUUUCCAGUUAAUGGUAUCUUUGGGCCGAAAUAUAAUAGUUGCUAAUGCCUUUGGAUCGUUUACUUUGUUGGUUUUAUGAUUCUUGGAGGAUUCAUCACAACUAAAGGUUGAUUCGUCAGAAAUAUUUUCAGCUACUUGAGGUUACAUUUUGAACCGAUACAUCUAACAUAUUGCAACCUUUUUCUGACUAUUUAAAAGAAAGCUCAGUCUGUUGGUUUUGGUGUUAUGGGAUCUCUCCUAUUAUAUAUGCACAAAAUGCUAUAUCAGUAUAUGAAUUCCAUGGGCAUUCUUGGUCCAAGGUGAACUUGAUUUUAAUAAUUCUCCGAAGAAGUUGUGCACUUUUCAUUUUGUCUCAACCAAUGUCGCUUUCAUCUUAAUCAUAGACAUGCGAGCCUAAUUUUUCUUGCAUAUUUUACUUGGUGGCUAACUCAAACUUAUUUGUUGUCAUUUUUGUAUUCAUCAUCACGAACAAGACCAGAUCACUGGAGUAGUCUCUGUCAAAACAUAUAACAAAUAAUAAGCCCUAUCACUACCUCUAGAGAACAAACAAGAGUUAAAUGAUGUAGAUUAUGAAUGAUGAACUCGUAAUGGGCGUGGAGGGCAGGUCUGCAAGGUGUUUUGGUAACCCUUUCUUGGUGUGAACAAUAUGGUCUGGUAUUGUUGUUAGUUGUCAAUCAAUCCAGGAUUUGACCUUGUUUGCAAAUUCAAGUGUUUUAUUAGAAGGAUGACGCAAAUCCAACACAAGGAACAUGUUAAUAUGCAUACUAUUGUUCUUCCUGAGUCAUUUGUGCAACAUAUAUUUUUCACCAUAGUAAUUGAAAUUUGACUCGUGUGUAGGUUGAUUUUGGUGUGUUCGAAGUUCUACAACUAUCAAAGGCUGCUCGUUCUGAAAGUUAUUCAGAAACAUGCACGCUGUGACCAACUUUUUUUUCAGAUAUCUCUAUUUUUCAAUGGUUUGUGCUGAUUCACAAAGGUGCAAUGAAAUUAUCUAAAAUCAUUUUAUUUUGGCUUCCCAUUGACUACUUUGAAGAGUGGGGCAUCCUGAUGUUUUCCUUUGACGUGCACAGUAUCCCUAUGUUUUUACACUACCAUUUUUUCAUUCUUUUUUAGUGUAUAUGAUGCACUUCUUUUGUCUAAGUUAACUCUUCAUUCUUCUCCUAUGCUCUUCCAGAUUGAUUACUCUUUAGACACUGAAUUAAAUGUUUCACAUUUUAUUGGAGAAUCAUAUAUCUAUGCUAGAUUAUAAUAUUUAGUUCAGAAUUGUGUAUCCACCUUUUUACUGAAUUUUACAAAUGUUUUUUGCUUGUUUAGUUUACCCAGCAUUAGGGCUCUCUCACAUUUUUGUCCUGAUUUUUAUAAAUAUCUGCUGGGGAUUCAUAUUUUUUCGUUAUUUCUUCCAUUUGUUUUGAAAGAGAAUAUCAGUUUUGAAUAGUCAUUAUCUUUGACCAUUAUAUUGUGAGUCGAUACAAUAAUUUCUCAUUUCAGGUCCACUCCCUCCUCGAAGAAUAUCUGAUUCAUUAUUCGUUUCGUGAAUUCUUUAUUCCAGCUCCUGCGGAGGAGGAUUAUGCACCCUUAUUAUCAUUGCGAAGAAGGCAAUAGAAGGCUAUGGAUUUUCUAGGGUGGGCACAUUUGCUGUCUGGUCUUCUGAUGCAACACUGUGAUUCACCUUUUGCUCUCUGGUUCUUGAAUUUUGGCUUUUGGCUGCUCGUGUAGUAUCGUCCUAAAUAAGUAGAUGAGUUCGAUCCAUCGUGUCCAUUUGUCCUUUGGGUAAAUAAAUGAAGAAAACUACAAAAAUAUAUAUUUUGUGCUGUGUGAUUUAUCUUGUAAGACUGUUACCUUUCUAUUAAGACACAUAUUACCUUGCUUUGCUUGCUCUGCUUUCUGAGUGAAUGCUCUGCUGCUGGUGCAGUUUAAUUAUGUCUAAUUUUUUAGAACUGGCAUUUAUUUAGACUGUAUAUACAUGUUUACAAAUUUAUCAGCUAGAUUAGUGUGUCGAGUCACGCAAAGGAGACGUGCCCUGGGUGCGUCCCUGUCACUAGUAUCUUAUUUUUUAUUUUUAUUUUUAUUUAUAAAGUUUACACUUGGUGGUCGUCCGUUCACUCCUAUGUACCACCUCUUUCUCUCAGCUCUGUCAAGCGAACCACGCGUAAGAACCUAC
rnacentral:lncRNA from 1 species